GUUUGAUCCUGGCUCAGGAUGAACGCUGGCGGCGUGCUUAACACAUGCAAGUCGAACGAACCUUCGGGUUAGUGGCGGACGGGUGAGUAACGCGUGGGAAUCUGCCCUCAGGAGGGGGAUAACGGCUGGAAACGGCCGCUAAUACCCCAUAUGCCGAGAGGUGAAAAGAAAUUCGCCUGAGGAUGAGCCCGCGUCUGAUUAGCUAGUUGGUGGGGUAAGAGCUCACCAAGGCGACGAUCAGUAGCUGGUCUGAGAGGAUGAUCAGCCACACUGGGACUGAGACACGGCCCAGACUCCUACGGGAGGCAGCAGUGGGGAAUUUUCCGCAAUGGGCGAAAGCCUGACGGAGCAACGCCGCGUGAGGGAUGAAGGCCUCUGGGCUGUAAACCUCUUUUUCUCAAGGAAGAAGACAUGACGGUACUUGAGGAAUAAGCCACGGCUAAUUCCGUGCCAGCAGCCGCGGUAAUACGGGAGUGGCAAGCGUUAUCCGGAAUUAUUGGGCGUAAAGCGUCCGCAGGCGGCCCUGUAAGUCUGUCGUUAAAGCGUGGAGCUUAACUCCAUUUAAGCGAUGGAAACUACAGGGCUUGAGUGUGGUAGGGGCAGAGGGAAUUCCCGGUGUAGCGGUGAAAUGCGUAGAUAUCGGGAAGAACACCAGUGGCGAAGGCGCUCUGCUGGGCCAUAACUGACGCUCAUGGACGAAAGCCAGGGGAGCGAAAGGGAUUAGAUACCCCUGUAGUCCUGGCCGUAAACGAUGAACACUAGGUGUCGGGGGAAUCGACCCCCUCGGUGUCGUAGCCAACGCGUUAAGUGUUCCGCCUGGGGAGUACGCACGCAAGUGUGAAACUCAAAGGAAUUGACGGGGGCCCGCACAAGCGGUGGAGUAUGUGGUUUAAUUCGAUGCAACGCGAAGAACCUUACCAGGGUUUGACAUCCUGCGAAUCCCUUGGAAACGAGGGAGUGCCUUCGGGAGCGCAGAGACAGGUGGUGCAUGGCUGUCGUCAGCUCGUGUCGUGAGAUGUUGGGUUAGUCCCGCAACGAGCGCAACCCACGUCUUUAGCUGCCAGCAUUCAGUUGGGCACUCUAGAGAGACCGCCGGUGAUAAACCGGAGGAAGGUGUGGAUGACGUCAAGUCAUCAUGCCCCUUACAUCCUGGGCUACACACGUACUACAAUGCUACGGACAAAGGGCAGCAAGCUCGCGAGAGUUAGCAAAUCCCAUAAACCGUGGCUCAGUUCAGAUCGUAGGCUGCAACUCGCCUACGUGAAGGAGGAAUCGCUAGUAAUCGCAGGUCAGCAUACUGCGGUGAAUACGUUCCCGGGCCUUGUACACACCGCCCGUCACACCAUGGAAGUUGGCCAUGCCCGAAGUCGUUACUCC
rnacentral:rRNA from 1 species